ACCACCGGAACCUCUGCCACCACC
rnacentral:siRNA from 1 species